rnacentral:rRNA from 1 species
AUACGGAGGAUCCGAGCGUUAUCCGGAUUUAUUGGGUUUAAAGGGUGCGCAGGCGGGAGAUUAAGUCGGCGGUGAAAUUUUGCCGCUCAACUGUAAAAGUGCCUUCGAAACUGGUUUCCUUGAGUGUAGAUGAAGUAGGCGGAAUUUGUGGUGUAGCGGUGAAAUGCAUAGAUAUCACGAGGAACUCCGAUUGCGCAGGCAGCUUACUAAACUACUACUGACGCUCAGGCACGAAGGCGUGGGGAUCAAACAGGAUUAGAUACCCUGGUAGUCCACGCAGUAAACGAUGAUUACUAGCUGUUUGCGAUACAAUGUAAGCGGCUGAGCGAAAGCGUUAAGUAAUCCACCUGGGGAGUACGUUCGCAAGAAUGAAACUUAAAGGAAUUGACGGGG